GUAAAACCAGGAGGAAACCGCGGUUAAAUAGGAAACCGCAAGGAAAUUGAUUAUGCUCAUAAUCGAGGGUACUUAGAGAGCACACUGUAUUUCACAAAUUGUCCAGAAAUCUCUAGACUUUUAGGCGAUUAGAAUGUAUCUUAUUGUGUUCCUUGUGCGAAUUUCAUGGCAUGUUGUUUGAAGACGACAUUGGUCUUAGCUUAGACUUUUGAGCAGGUUAGUGUCCCCUUUGCGAAAUAUCUAAAUGAACCUUUUCUUCGUGUCUUCCAUUUUAACUGAAACAAUGGAAAAUGGCGUAGCAAUAUACUGCGAGUGGCCAUGCAUGGUGACAAAAUAAAGUCCCGUUAGCUAGUAGCCACAGGUACCUGGAUUUGCUGUAUUCAUCAAAUAAAACUAUUUAUUAGUCUGGAUUAAUGUGCGUAUUGCAUGUAUUCAAUAUUGGUGUUUUUUCUGGUUUUACAGCUCCGAGAACUCAAACUUGAAAGAUGCGUCCGUCCAAAAGAUUGUCGAACGCAGCGUGCUGCAGACAAGGAAGUAGAUGCGCAUUUAGAAAGGUGUCCGUUAGAUAUCUGUAGAGACCACUUGGAAAACAACCAUUGGAGAAACAAUGAAGUAAAGACAGAUACAUUCAUUACUAUUUGACACUGCUUUUAAUUCAUGGAUUACAUCAAUACUUUUCAGUUUCGAUCUAUUGAAUGUAAUAAAUAAAUUCAGACUUCAAAUCGCCUUUAAUAAAGUUGGAUGUUGAUAUCGAUGUUAGUUUUGAGGGUCCUUUCCUUACUUAUGUGAAUCCUUUUUUAUGUACAGACAAAGAUGUGUCUGUACAUAUUGCCAUCACCUGCGUUUGUUGUCGCCGUCGCUGUCGCCGUGCACUUUCAGCGUUAAACACACGAUAAGUGGUAGACAGCUUUACUUUUUGGCUUUAUAUUUACAGAGCUGAUGAAUAUUCAUAAAACGCAGGUCAAGUUAAAAAAUCAGCAUGAUCGGGCC